AUGAAUAUUCAUUAGCCGGGCGGUGCUGCGGGCAGGGCGGCGGUUACAACACAGUGGCAGUUGAAGUGCUAAGUGCUAAUUUUAAUACACAGAAAAAGACCUGUAACGGGCAAACGGCGUUGCGGACCCAGGCAAGCAGGUCCAUCUGGAAUUACGCUCUUCACUUGUAGAAAUUCAUCUGGCUCAUCACCCCCAAUAAUGACAGGUCAAUGGUGCUUCAGUGUUUAGACUGGACAGAUUCAGAAGAGAAGAAUAAUUCUGACAACUGGGAGAUGAAUUGCCCCUUGAGGAGUGGUAUUGGAGGGAUAUAUUGGACUGAUUCUAACACUGACUGUUUUAGCAAUUUCUAAUUAGCGUUCUCACAGACUACCUCAUCAUCCUUUCCUGUACCAAAGAACUACUCCGAAUUCUGACUAACAUUAACAGUUAUGGCCACACCUUGGUACACCACCAGUAGCAUUGCUACAGGGUGGCAAGGGAACAAUUCCCCCCCCCCCCCCCGGUUAUCCUUUGCCCUCCUGCAGAGAACCAGGAUCCAGGCACACUUGCAGGGCAGGGGGAAGCCCAUUCAGACGGAUCAACAGAAGCUUCCCUUGGUUUUUCUAAGAGCUGAGGAACGUGCUCUCGAAUCACCCAUAGUGCAAGAAAAAGUGCAAACGUGUUACACUAAAAAAACGUGCACAAAGGAUGCGGUCUAUUGUAAGCCCUUCUCCGACAGGAGAGAGGCCCCCCAACAAACCCUACCCUUUGCCUCCGGACCAAAAGGUACCUGCGAGGUUCCAGGCUCAAUGUCCCUUUUUUCGCCGAAGCUACUAAGGGUCCACAAAUGCUCCCGGCAUCCCCCUUGGCAUUAGCUAAGGUAUUUGCCCGCAGAGCCGAUAACGGUCGGUGAACUACCCUGGGGUUUUUGCAGGGAGGUGCGGAACCUAAUGGCGACACACACCUCCCCUAGACCGCUAGGAGGGACACCCAGAAGGGCUACCGCAUCCUAACAAUCCUGUGAACACACAACACGCAAAAAGUGACACAGUGACAAAAAGGAAAUAAAUACGUUAAUGUGUGCAGAUAUACUGCCCGGAUCUAUAAAAAUUUCACUCGUCAUUGCGCCGCUCAGGGCAUAGC